CGGAUUUUAACCUUUCGUGUGUUUUAGACGUGGAUCCACGUUCGAAAAAUCUUUACCCUCGUGUGCCUAAGCGUGGAUCCACGUCCAAAACUAACAAACUUUUUAAAUGCGAUUUUGUUCUCUAUUCUUUGGACUUUUGGGUAAAUUUUUUUUUGCAACGAAAACGUACUGAAUGAAUCUGUCACGGGCGGCCAUUAGACUGAAUGGAUUUCGUCAUGGGAAUGGGAUCGACAAGUAAAAACAAGUGCAUUCUGGUGACACGUGCGACCGGUGAAAUUCCUUUUGUGUGAUUCUCACGAAAAUAAACAACUGAAUUCAUCAUGGUUGUGGUCCUGGAUCUUGACCGGUUUUUGCAUAAA